UACAGAGGGUGCGAGCGUUAAUCGGAAUUACUGGGCGUAAAGCGUGCGUAGACGGUUAUUUAAGUCGGAUGUGAAAGCCCCGGGCUCAACCUGGGAAUUGCAUUCGAGACUGAAUAGCUAGGGUACGGUAGAGGGAAGUGGAAUUUCCGGUGUAGCGGUGAAAUGCGUAGAUAUCGGAAGGAACAUCAGUGGCGAAAGCGAACUUCUGGA
rnacentral:rRNA from 1 species